rnacentral:rRNA from 1 species
ACUAAAUAGAUACCCCGGUAGUCCACGCCGUAAACGAUGGAUACUAGCUGUUCGGAGCAAUCUGAGUGGCUAAAGCGAAAAGUGAUAAGUAUCCCACCUGGGGAGUACGCACGCAAGUGUGAAACUCAAAGGAAUUGACGGGGGCCCGCACAAGCGGUGGAGCAUGUGGUUUAAUUCGAUGAUACGCGAGGAACCUUACCAGGGCUUAAAUGUAGAUUGACAGGACUGGAAACAGUUUUUCUUCGGACAAUUUACAAGGUGCUGCAUGGUUGUCGUCAGCUCGUGCCGUGAGGUGUCAGGUUAAGUCCUAUAACGAGCGCAACCCCUGUCGUUAGUUGCCAGCGAGUCAUGUCGGGAACUCUAACGAGACUGCCAGUGUAAACUGUGAGGAAGGUGGGGAUGACGUCAAAUCAUCACGGCCCUUACGUCCUGGGCCACACACGUGCUACAAUGGGUAGGUACAGAGAGCAGCCACUGCGCGAGCAGGAGCGAAUCUACAAAACCUAUCUCAGUUCGGAUCGGAGU